AACGAACGCUGGCGGCAUGCUUAACACAUGCAAGUCGAACGAGACCUUCGGGUCUAGUGGCGCACGGGUGCGUAACGCGUGGGAAUCUGCCCUUAGGUACGGAAUAACUCAGAGAAAUUUGUGCUAAUACCGUAUGAUGUCGAAAGACCAAAGAGUUAUCGCCAGAGGAGGAGCCCGCGUAGGCUUAGCUAGUUGGUGUGGUAAAGGCGCACCAAGGCGACGAUCCUUAGCUGGUCUGAGAGGAUGAUAAGCCACACUGGGAAUGAGACCCGGCCCAGCCACCUACGGGAUGCAGCAGUGGGGAAUAUUGGACAAUGGGCUAAAGCCUGAUCCAGCAAUGCCGCGUGAGUGAUGAAGGCCUUAGGGUUGUAAAGCUCUUUUACCCGGGAUGAUAAUGACAGUACCGGGAGAAUAAGCUCCGGCUAACUCCGUGCCAGCCGCCGCCGUAA
rnacentral:rRNA from 1 species